rnacentral:rRNA from 1 species
AUACCGCAUACGACCUACGGGAGAAAGGGGGCAACUUGUUGCUCUCGCUAUUAGAUGAGCCUAAGUCGGAUUAGCUAGAUGGUGGGGUAAAGGCCUACCAUGGCGACGAUCUGUAGCUGGUCUGAGAGGAUGAUCAGCCACACCGGGGACUGAGGAACACGGCCCGGACUCCUUACUGGGAGGCAGCAGUGGGGAAUAUUGGACAAUGGGGGCAACCCUGAUCCAGCCAUGCCGGCGUGUGCUGAAGAAGGCCUUUUGGUUGUAAAGCACUUUAAGCAGUGAAGAAGACUCCGUGGUUCAAUACCCCACGGACGAUGAUCAUUAGCUGCAGAACUAACGCACCGGCUAACUCUGUGCCAGCAGCCGCGGUAAUACAGAGGGUGCAAGCGUUAAUCGGAAUUACUGGGCGUAAAGCGAGCGUAGGUGGCUUGAUAAGUCAGAUGUGAAAUCCCCGGGCUUAACCUGGGAACUGCAUCUGAUACUGUUAGGCUAGAAUAGGUGAGAGGAAGGUAGAAUUCCAGGUGUAGCGGUGAAAUGCGUAGAGAUCUGGAGGAAUACCGAUGGCGAAGGCAGCCUUCUGGCAUCAUAUUGACACUGAGGUUCGAAAGCGAGGCGUNGNANACAGGUUUCAGNUANANUGGGGAGGCCACGCCGNANACGANGNAUANAAUGGGGCCUGGGUCCCUUGAGGACUUAGUGACGCAGCUAACGCNAUAAGUAGACCGCCUGGGGAGUACGGUUCUUUAGGAAAAAAACUCAAAUGAAUUGACGGGGGCCCGCACAAGCGGUGGAGCAUGUGGUUUAAUUCGAUGCAACGCGAAGAACCUUACCUGGUCUUGACAUAUCUAGAAUCCUGCAGAGAUGCGGGAGUGCCUUNCGGGAAUUAGAAUACAGGUGCUGCAUGGCUGUCGUCAGCUCGUGUCGUGAGAUGUUGGGUUAAAGUCCCGCAACGAGCGCAACCCUUGUCCUUAGUUACCANCGGGUUAAGCCGGGAACUCUAAGGAUACUGCCAGUGACAAACUGGGAGGAAGGCGGGGGACGACGUCGAGGUCAUCAUGGACCUUAACGACCAGGGGCUACACACGUUGCUCCCCCGGCUAGGUACAGAGGGCAGCUACACAGCGAUGUGAUGCGAAUCUCAAAAAGCCUAUCGUAGUCCAGAUUGGAGUCUGCAACUCGACUCCAUGAAGUAGGA